rnacentral:rRNA from 1 species
CAGUCGCCACGGUAAUACGUAGGGUGCAAGCGUUAAUCGGAAUUACUGGGCGUAAAGCGUGCGCAGGCGGUUUGUUAAGUCUGAUGUGAAAGCCCCCGGCUCAACCGGGGAGGGUCAUUGGAAACUGGGAAACUUGAGUGCAGAAGAGGAGAGUGGAAUUCCACGUGUAGCGGUGAAAUGCGUAGAGAUGUGGAGGAACACCAGUGGCGAAGGCGACUCUCUGGUCUGUAACUGACGCUGAGGCGCGAAAGCGUGGGGAGCAAACAGGAUUAGAUACCCCUGUAGUCCCUGUCUCUUAUAC